CAGGGCUGUCCAACCUGCGGCCCCCCCAGAUGUUGCUGAACUACAACUCCCAUGAUUCCCUGGCUAUCUGUUUCAUUGAAAGAAUCAUGGGAGUUGUAGUUCAGCAACAUCUGGGGGGGCCGCAGGUUGGACAGCCCUG